CGGGGUGCAGCAGGCGCGAAACCUUAGCAAUGUGCGAAAGCACGACUGGGUCAGUCCGAGUGAUUCCUGCUAAAGGAAUCUUUUGCUUGUCCUAAAAGCACAGGUGAAUAAGGGGUGGGCAAGUCUGGUGUCAGCCGCCGCGGUAAUACUAGCACCUCGAGUGGUCAGGACGUUUAUUGGGCCUAAAGCAUCCGUAGCCGGCUCUGCAAGUCUUCGGUUAAAUCCACCUGCUCAACAGAUGGGCCGCUGGAGAUACUACAGAGCUAGGGAGUGGGAGAGGCAGACGGUAUUCAGUGGGUAGGGGUAAAAUCCUCUGAUCCAUCGAGGACCACCAGUGGCGAAGGCGGUCUGCCAGAACACGUUCGACGGUGAGGGAUGAAAGCUGGGGGAGCAAACCGGAUUAGAUACCCGGGUAGUCCCAGCUGUAAACGAUGCAAACUCGGUGAUGCGUUGGUUUAUGGCCAAUGCAGUGCCGCAGGGAAGCCGUUAAGUUUGCCGCCUGGGAAGUACGGACGCAAGUCUGAAACUUAAAGGAAUUGGCGGGGGAGCAC
rnacentral:rRNA from 1 species